rnacentral:rRNA from 1 species
CCUACGGGCGACAGCAGUGAGGAAUAUUGGUCAAUGGCCGGAAGGCUGAACCAGCCAAGCCGCGUGAAGGACGAAGGUUCCAAGCAUUGUAAACUUCUUUUGUCAAGGGACAAAAUCAGGCUCGAGAGCCUGACCGAGGGUACUUGAAGAACAAGCAUCGGCUAACUCCGUUCCAGCAGCCGCGUUAAUACGGAGCAUGCGAGCGGUAUCCGGAUUUAUUGGGUUUGACGUGUGCAUAGGCGGGCGGUUAAGUCAGCGGUAAAAGCCCGGGGUUCAACCCCGGCGAGCCGUUGAAACUGGCUGUCUUGAGAUGUCGAGAGGUAUGCGGAAUGCGCAGUGUAGCGGUGAAAUGCUUAGAUAUUGCGCAGAACUCCGAGUGCGAAGGCAGCAUACCGGCGGCGAUCUGACGCUGAGGCACGAAAGCGUGGGUAUCGAACAGGAUUAGAUACCCUGGUAGUC